UAGGGAAUCUUCCACAAUGGACGCAAGUCUGAUGGAGCAACGCCGCGUGAGUGAAGAAGGUUUUCGGAUCGUAAAGCUCUGUUGUUGGUGAAGAAGGAUAGAGGCAGUAACUGGUCUUUAUUUGACGGUAAUCAACCAGAAAGUCACGGCUAACUACGUGCCAGCAGCCGCGGUAAUACGUAGGUGGCAAGCGUUGUCCGGAUUUAUUGGGCGUAAAGCGAGCGCAGGCGGAAUGAUAAGUCUGAUGUGAAAGCCCACUGCUCAACCGUGGAACUGCAUCGGAAACUGUCAUUCUUGAGUGCAGAAGAGGAGAGUGGAAUUCCAUGUGUAGCGGUGGAAUGCGUAGAUAUAUGGAAGAACACCAGUGGCGAAGGCGGCUCUCUGGUCUGCAACUGACGCUGAGGCUCGAAAGCAUGGGUAGCGAACAGG
rnacentral:rRNA from 1 species